rnacentral:misc_RNA from 1 species
UCGUAACAAGGUCUCCGUUGGUGAACCAGCGGAGGGAUCAUUACCGAGUUUACAACUCCCAAACCCUUAUGUGAACCGUACCUAUCGUUGCUUCGGCGGGAACGCCCCGGCGCCCUGCGCCCGGAUCCAGGCGCCCGCCGGAGACCCCAAACUCUUGUGUUUUUUUCAGUAUUCUCUGAGUGGCAAACGCAAAAAUAAAUCAAAACUUUUAACAACGGAUCUCUUGGCUCUGGCAUCGAUGAAGAACGCAGCGAAAUGCGAUAAGUAAUGUGAAUUGCAGAAUUCAGUGAAUCAUCGAAUCUUUGAACGCACAUUGCGCCCGUUAGCAUUCUAGCGGGCAUGCCUGUCCGAGCGUCAUUUCAACCCUCAGGGUCCCCGUUCCGGCGGGGAACCUGGUGUUGGGGAUCGGCCCGCCCCGCGCGGCGCCGUCCCCCAAAUUCAGUGGCGGUCUCGCUGCAGCCUCCCCUGCGUAGUAGUUACAACCUCGCAUCGGAGCUCAGCGCGGCCACGCCGUAAAACCCCCGACUUUCUGAACGUUGACCUCGGAUCAGGUAGGAAUACCCGCUGAACCUAAGCAUA